rnacentral:rRNA from 1 species
GGGACACGUGAUAUCCUGUCUGAAUAUGGGGGGACCAUCCUCCAAGGCUAAAUACUACUGACUGACCGAUAGUGAACCAGUACCGUGAGGGAAAGGCGAAAAGAACCCCUGUGAGGGGAGUGAAAUAGAACCUGAAACCGUGUACGUACAAGCAGUAGGAGCAGGCUUGUCCUGUGACUGCGUACCUUUUGUAUAAUGGGUCAGCGACUUAUAUUCAGUGGCAAGGUUAACCAUCUAGGGGAGCCGUAGGGAAACCGAGUCUUAACUGGGCGUUCAGUCUCUGGAUAUAGACCCGAAACCAGGUGAUCUAGCCAUGGGCAGGUUGAAGGUUGAGUAACAUCAACUGGAGGACCGAACCGACUAAUGUUGAAAAAUUAGCGGAUGACUUGUGGCUAGGGGUGAAAGGCCAAUCAAACCUGGAGAUAGCUGGUUCUCCCCGAAAGCUAUUUAGGUAGCGCCUCGGACGAAUACUACUGGGGGUAGAGCACUGUUAAGGCUAGGGGGUCAUCCCGACUUACCAACCCUUUGCAAACUCCGAAUACCAGUAAGUACUAUCCGGGAGACACACGGCGGGUGCUAACGUCCGUCGUGGAGAGGGAAACAACCCAGACCGC